GUUUCUCUUCAGAUCAAACAAAUCUUUUGCCUUUUAAUCAAGAUUUCUGUGGAGAGGAACGGAAAA
rnacentral:snRNA from 1 species